GGCCUCAGUCCUUCGCCGUCCCUCGCCGUCCUUCGCCAUCGCACGCCACCGCACCCCAUCUCUCGAAAUCUGCAGACAUCUUGAUUUUUCCCACGCUGUCUGUCAGGUCUCCGCCGCCACUCGACGCCAGGGCGCCGGGUGAGUCCACAGCAGGGCGCAUGGUCGGCUCCACUCUCACCAUCGGGGGAAACUGAGGCCCCGGGGAAGGCGGCCAGAGAGGUCAGGCCCUGUCCUUGGUGCAGUGUCUCGUCCUCUUUGCCGGAGUGAGCCCCCCAGGAUUCGCGUGUCCUCGGGAAAGACACUGGCAGGCCUUGUGGGCUGUGCUGCACCUCGGACGGCUUCGCACCAGCCAGCGCCCUCUCUCUCCUGCAGCACUCUGAUCUGCACCCCCUGAGGGGCUUCCACUGUCCGCGGGGUGAGAAUGCCCCUGGGAGUGUCACAUGACUGCCGCCCCAUGUGUGUGAGAGGCGUCCUCUGGGAGAGCAUGGAUCCUGAGGUCCCAGGUAAGUGGGGUCCUGCUCAGUCCUCUAGAGCUCAAGUUCUCUGCAGGUUGUGAGGCCAGAGGUGGUUGGGUGCUGAGGAGUGGGGAGUGAGGACACCGGUGAAGGCUGCUUCCCUUUGCUCCUGUCUUUGCUCCUUCAGCAGGCAGGGACAGGCCUGGGCCCUCUUCUGCCUUCGUGGGGCUGCUGCCAAGAAGGUGCUCCCUGAGCUUGAUUGGGGCUCUGAGAGUCCCUGACAAAGACCCUGUCAUGUUGAGAGGAAAA
rnacentral:lncRNA from 10 species